GCGGGGCUCCCGCUGGGGCCGCCGGGCUGCCGGGAGUCGCGGCCACAAGUUGGGCGCCUCGGGCCGGGGAAGCCCCCGGCCCCUUCCGGCGGUUCAACGGGCAGGCGGGGCGCACGUUCGCCGUGUGGCCGCCGCGGGAGUUGGCAAAACUUCUCCUCCUGCCGGCCCCGCGCCCACCUGAGGGAGCGGUUGUUUGCCCUCAGGAGUGGCGGGGAGACGGCGGGGCCAGGCUCCUCGGCGUUUCGCGGUCUGGGGCUAGUAAUCCCACCGCCGUGUGUCUAUAAAUAUAUAUAUAUAUUUUAGGGCGUGUGUGUCAAAUUCAGAACUUUCCCAAAAGCAGCAGACGGUCGCUUCAGCGUUAAUUCGCAGCAGUUAAUAAUGCUCCGCUGAGAAGCGCCCGGAGACCGAACAAAGCCCGGCGGAGGGGUGCAGUGUGAAAAGAGAUGCAGCACAAAGAUACUACGUGCCUUGAAGCUGUUCGGUGACAACAAAAUCGGUGCUAUGGAACUUCAUAGCAGUUUAAUAACGACUACGGAGUUCCUUGCAAGACCACGAUAAUUUGUCAAAUUGUCUUUCAGUUCAAACUUUUCUCCCACAUGCCACGUGUGGUCCAAAACUAAGCAGUGUGAUGGGCAGUCCACAUAUGUGAAGGAAUACAUUGAUUUGUACUUCUACAGGUCAACAAAGUAGAAGUUAUGUGUAAAAAUCCGGCACUAUAAACUUACAAAGAAACAAGAAUGGGAGAGCACAAGUCUGCAUAUGUAUCCUAUAUUUUGAUGGAUUUUUUUUCCUUUCACAGAAAGAUUAAAUAGCAUUGGCACAUCUGAGGCAGCGUGUAUUUUAUUGUGAUUCCUGAGAACUUUUUGUAGGCAGGCAGAAGAAUGUUCUGUUUACAUCUUUUCAGUGCUGUCACAUCUGAUUGUGGAUGGGCAAACUACUAUGAUGCUACCGUUUGUUUGACUUGAGAAGGCCAUUAGCCAAAAAUAAAAUUGGUUGUAUGCAGUCUACUGUGUUAGCUACUUCUGGAGUGCAGUGAGCAGGUGACAGAGAGGGAGGAGAAACUGCUGGAGGGGCUUUGCAGUCCCUUUACCAUAAAGGAGGAUGACAAAGCGAUUGAUGAGUGCUGUGUUCUGAGGAUUGCUCCAGCAAAGAAGCUGCAGGUUGUGGCCCUCAGCAUGGCUGGAGGAUUUUUUUGCUGAACAUAGGAGAAGACCUUGGUUAGACUUCUUCCUGAUGCCACUCUGGAUGUGUAGGCUUAGCUAAAGAAGCAUGAACCACAGAAUCAGCAUAAGAAGGUAGUGGGAGCAGCAGUUUAGCAUGAGGACUACAUAAGAUGGUGUAUCAAGGGGUUUACCUUUACUCCCCCACACCAUACAGUCAGUGGUUGGGCUGCAGUGUACUGGCACACUCAGCAUAACCAUGUAAUGCCCCAUUUCCCUUUGGUGAAACAAUGGAGGGGAAAGGAAUGCAGGAAAACAUGGAUUAUAAAGCUUAUGAAAGAAAAGGAAUGUUCUUGAGAGCAAUCUUUUGUUGUUGUUGUUGUUUUCUUUAGUAUUAAUUUUUAAAUUUGCCCAUUAUUUAGCAGGCUUUAUUUAUAUUCCACCUGUGCUACAGAUUGUAAUACCUCUUGGUGUGAUGUUUCACGUACGAUAAAUCCUGUGACUUUUAAAGACAAGCUCUUAGUUUUUCUGUAUUAAACAGUCCAUUUUUUCAUCUUUACCAUAUGUGGAGAGUAAUACAAAUAUCAUGCAGUUCAAUUGCUACACAUAUUAAGUACGUAUGGAUACAGCAUGUAGUGUUGUCUUCCUCUGAUUGCCCAAGUAACCACUUGUUUACUUUCUAGCAACUGCUAGAACAUUUGUUUGUAAUGUCUUCUUGUACCUAGGUGAGGUUAUGUGGAUCCAGGCUGUCAAGGAGAAGCUUGGUCUCUGGUGGCAGUAUGAGUGCCUGUCUAUGCGACAUUCACUCUUGCCCCAGUGCGAGUACUCCAGAUCUCCAGCAUGCCAGUGACUUCUGUGGUGGUAUGGAUGAUUCUGUCCCCAUACUUCAUCAAAAUGCUGUUAAUGCUUAUACAUGCUCAAAUGACACAUGCACCCUCAUUACUCCCAGCAUUGACUACGAAGCCCAUUUGGUGAAUCUCCGUUUUUGGGGAUCCCUGUUUCAACAACUUGGGUAAAACCCCCUGCAAAGAUUCUCAUAAAUGCUCAGUGCUGCUGCAUUGCCAUCUGGGUUACCUGACUGAACUGUAGCCAUCUGGGAUGAAGGGCUUCCAAAUAAGAAUUACAAUCUGGUCUUAAGAUGGUGUGGCAUGCAUGUAUCUGGUCCUUGAUGUCAGAUCUGCAGGAAUGAAGGAGGCUCUAUUUUUUAACUUGACCUACAUUAACUUUGUGGUAUGUAUAUUUGGGUUACAUGAUAACAGGGUGAUAACAGGAGUAACUCUUAACAAUUCUGCGUAUUGAAGCUGACAGAACCACAACAGAGAAGCUGAGGAGUGCAGGGUUCUUUCUCAUGUGCUGUAAAUCAAACUUGGAGUGGCUCGGCUGCUGUGUUGUGAGGAACCGUGGGACUCCAGGCAAGAAAUGUAGCAGCCCAGCCUGUGGACAGCUCUGUACCAGCUGAUCCAGCCUGGUGGAAGCAGACUUGAGAGUCAAGCUUUGAGCUAAGGAUGCCCCAUCUGCCAGCAGCUCCUUAGCUUUUGGACAGUCCCACUAACCUGUUAUGGAAAAUUUGAAACAUUUUACUACUAUUUAAAGUAUUUCUGAUUUGUGUAUGGAUGGAUCCAGAUGUUAGGCUGCAGGUUAGUGAAUAAGACCUUGCUUUUUAAAGUUUUGUCUUUGUUUUCCAUGAAAAACCUACAUGCAUUGACAGAAUUCGGAGGAGUGGAAGACAUUGUCUGAAAACUGAAACCUUGAUUUGAAAUAUGUUACUGUAGUUCUCCUCCAGCAUUAUAAUCUGGACACCUGCUGGUCCUAUUCUGUAAGGUUGAGAGGGCCUGCCAUCUUUGACACUGCACCAUGAUCUUUGCUUUUUGAAGGGAGUGUAGGAGGUGGGGAAUCCCUCAAAGUGAUCUGUUGUUGGAGUUGACCUUUAAAUGGGGAGUGUUGAUAGAGGAGAUCUGCUACAUAAAGCAAGGAUAAAGAAAUAAAUAGACCUCUGAUCUGAAUGAGCAUAGCCAUCCUUGUGUAAGGAGAAAUACACUGACAAAUGAGUAAGUCUGGGCUUUGGCAACCUGGAAUUCAGCAAAAUUUAUCAGAAAUGAAACUUCAUUGUCCAAGAAACAUUUCCAUUUCUCUUUCAUUUCUCCUUGUAAUAGGGAGAAUUGCUGCAACUGUGCCUUAAGUACAACUGUGAGCCUUUUUGGGUGUUCUUCCAAAGCCAGUGGAUAGAAUGACAGUGUAAGACUCCUAAGACUACAGCUUUCUAAGAGAAAUACAAGAAGAGAAAACAAAGCAAAUAAUGAAAUUCAGGGAGCAAAACUGUUAAUAUGACCUACAUGUAGUUUUAGAAUGUGUUGUGUUCAGUCAUUAGUCCAUGGUUAGAAUGCAGGUUGCAGCCAGAAUCUAUCAGGAACUGGCAACGUGUGGUGUUUCUUAAGCAAAAGUUCACUGUUAAUUUUUAUUGCUUGUUUUGCAUCUUGCCACUCUUACAGAAAUUAUCUUUCCAGAUAUUUUUAACUUUGUCUUCAUAGCAAUGUAACUUAAUGACUGUUAAAGAAUACUAUGCUUUUUACCUUCAUAAGCAUUAGUGAUCAAGUCUGUAGAUGAGCAAAUGCACAAUUUUGUAAGAUUACAGACAAAUUUUCGAUAUUUUAAAUAAAUUAUUCAGAAAUUUUACAAUUACCUGAACUAGAUUUAUGUAGUUUUACUCCUGAAUACUUCAGUUUACUUCACAGUUACAUUGACCAAAAUAGAUCAGGCUUCUUUUAUAUCUUUUCCUGCUAAGAUAUGCACAUUUUCCUUCAAAUUUCUGUCAAUUACAGUACAUUUACAGUUACAACUGUCAAUUACAGUACAUUUUCAGUUGAUGACUUGUAAUUUCCCUGUUAUUAUUUUAGAAAUUUUAUAAAUAAGUAAUCCUAAGAAAAUAUAAUAGGCAGACAAAGUUAGAAAGGAAGAAAUAGUUUGGGUAUUGUGGAGAGAGAAAUUCAUCAUUCUGCUACCAAAACUGUAAUGAGUAAGAGGGUGGAGAAAAGAUAGCACAGUAGUGAAGUAUAUGAGUGAAUUCCUAUGGUACCACUUUCCAGUUAUUUAUAUGUGGAAUCCACAUACUUUUUGAAGCUUAGUGCUCUGUGGUUGAUUAUCUUUACUGAAUCAUUUUAUAAGGAAGAAAUUUGAGUACGUUAGAAUUCCUGAAUUGCAAAAAUAACAAAAAAAAAAAAAAAGAGAUGUCCAUGUUUUCCUAAAAAUGCAAUGAAAACAUAUACAUUUCUUUAAAAGUGACCUACAAAUUUGUGAAGAGACUGUAAUCCUGUCUCUAAAAGUGUGUCAAGAAUAGUGAGAAUAGUGCAACCUCUGUCAUGUAAUUUGUAUGCCUUAAUCUGAAUCUUAAUUAUAGUGUCAAGAAGUGAGAGGCAUGUAAAGUUGCCAAAUUUGUCCACUCUUUUGAAACUAGAAGUAUUGUGGGAAGUAAUUGGGUGCGAAAUAAAUGUGUUCACAAGUAAUUGGACUGAGACUUAUUAAAUUUCUUUUAUUUAAGUAGUAGGUAGCAACUACUGAAACUUCAAGGAAAAGAAGAUUACAUCCUGCAAAACUUUCUCAUGCAAAAUAGUCUAUACUAAUGUCAUUGAUCCUGGCUACUUUAAAGUGUCUGCUUGCUUGCGAAAUGGUUUGUAAAGCUGGUCUUCAAAUGAGAGAGGGUAUUAGAAAACAACAAUCAAAAUCCAUUUUACAGGAGGAGUUAACUUUUGGGGGUGUGGGGUAAAGAACAGACAUUGAACAUCAAGGUUUCUUCAGUGUUCUCUAUUACCAAAACUGUUUUUUUUCUUUUUGUAUUACCAAAACUGUUUUAGCUAACCCUUUAUUGCCAGAAAAAAAAUGUGAAAGAGGUAAUGAAAGAAAAUGGUAUGGUAAAAUACAUGUAAAGAGUCUCAUGCCAAAGCCAAGAGAGUUAAGGGGUAUAUCUUCUACAGACUUAGGAAAUAAUGAAGGUAAAUUGAAAAAGUCUGCCUGUGCUUAACAAAACUAACUUGUAAGUAUCAGUCUUCUGAUUAUUGAAUACAGCUGUUUGUGCUAUCUCACUAGUGUUUUUGAAACAGUCAGUGUUUUUCUGAGGACCACUAAUUUGGAUUGGGGUUGUUAGUUUUAUGUGUAGCAAAGCUAAAUGUUAUCAUAUUCAAUUUUAAAUAAGUUGCUUCAUUCUGUGUGUAAAACAAAAUAAUUUCAAUAUACUUGAUUUCAUAGUUAAGUAAUGUAGAGUUGAUCAAAAAAUAUCUUCCCUAGUAUGAUGCACAGAGAUUAGAUUAGACUGUUACAGAAUAAUGCGAUAAAAAUGAUUUCCUUAAGAGAGUACAAAAGCAGCAUCUAAGUUUUAACUGACAUCUGUUGACACACAGCAUCAGUUGGGAGCCCAAUCAAACCUCCUAUUCUUUUCUGUUUACCACCUCCUGCUUUUAUUUACAGUCAGCAUAUCUGUUAAUUAGCUUCAGGUAGAGUCAGUUCUUCUAAGAAGAUCUCUUGUCUUCCUGGUGAUGGCCCCAUGAGGUGACCCAUGUACACACAGUCUGUGAGUGAAUUCAUCUUUAAUUCAUUAAUUUUAGUGAUUCUGUAAUGUUUAACUGCUGGCUUGUUUUCCUACCCAGCAAUCUGUAUUUGGACAAUUGUGGGCUUUGACUCCCGUUGACUUCAAUGUCAUAGACACAUCCCAGUGAGCUCUCUGCAUCUUGUGGUUACCUCUACAUUUUCUUGUAGUUUUCUGGUUUGCUAUGAUUUGAACAGAAUGCAUGUUGGUGGCUUCCAGGUAAAUGCUCUGUAUCACUGAGAUUAUUUACCCUGCUUUUGUUGCCUUUGCAGAAUAAAAUUACUCUUCCACUUCCUCAGCUAUCUCUGUAGUACAGUGUCUGAAUGGAACAUUUUGCAAAAAUGUCUGAUGAAACAGUGCCAAGCCUGGAUCUCACAAGUGUUGGUGCAUUGCUUUUUUUGUUCUGUUCCUUUCAAGGAACCGUACUAGUCUGUAGGGUCUCACCAACUUCAGACUUUGUGAUGAUGUGAAGCUGUUUUAUAGCCACAGCCUGAAUAUGAGCACUAUAUGUGGUGGUCAUAGCAUAUUUCUCUGUCAGUACUACCUGUUUAUUUGGAGAGAAAAAAGUUGCAGUUACGUUUGAAAAAAAAAAAAAAUUAGGAGCAUGGCUGAAAGAUCUCCUGAAUAAGCGUGCAGUAUAUGCUCCAAGAGGUGAGAGCUUAUCUGUGCACUCACAGAUGUGAGGGUGUUAGAAAUCCUGUAAUUUCAGUGUUAAUAUUUGUGUUUGUUUCAUCUGAAACCUAGGAAAAGAAAAAAUGGGCUACUUACCUGCACCGUCAACUGUAAGUAAUGUCUUAAAGUGACAAGCAAGUUUCUCCCUUUAGCCAGAAUUUCAUUUUUUCCUUCUCCACCCUCCAUUUGAGGAGCAGUGAAACAAAUACCUAAGCAUAGGUUACAGGUGCCCUUCGAAUCCUUCCUAGGGCAAGUGCAAUGGUGGGAGCCAUAAAUUACACCCUUUCCUAGUAGGAGUGUUUUCAUAAUUCAAUAAGAGAGCUUUACUUACAAAAACUCAGUGUUUUUUGUUCCUCAUGGGCUAUUUUUUUGAUAAAUAUAAUUCCUUGUAAAAUUCCUUUUCCUGUAUACUGGAAAACUACCUCAAAGUAAUACAAUUAUUUCUCUUCAGUCUGGAAGUUUUUGUGCUGAUCUAAAUCAUUUUAUGCUGGCACGAUUGUAUAACAAUGCCUAAAUUCUGUGGAUAGAUUGACCUGGGUAAAGUAACUUGGUUUUAAAGGAAUUGGAGAUGCUAAUGCCUUUGGAUUAAAUUCCUAAGACAUCCGCAUAUUCAGGGUGCUGUGAAAAGAGACACAAAUAUCUAAAAAGAGAAUGUGAAUACUUGCUAUUGAUGGCUGAUAGUUUUAUUGCUGAUGGCUUAGUGAUGAUGCAGUGUUUUGACGAAGAAUCAAUGAAAAAGUAUCAGUGAAAGUUUUUGCCAUCUUUAAUUGUGAGAAACCAAUGCUGACUGAUCUGUUAAUGUUUCUUCGGGAAAUUCAACACCGGGGUGAGAAGGUGGGUGAUAUGUCUUCAAAACGCAUGAACUAUUUGAAUGUGUUUUGUGGUUGAAGGACAGAGAUAAAAGUUGCUGGAAAGGUUUUCAAUAAUUCAGUGGCCCUUCAUCAGUAUAAUGAAGUACUGUUUAAGCCACCUUUGUUAUGGAGAAACUCCUUCACAAUUAGUAUGCUCUCAUCUUUCAAAUCUCAGUGCAGCACCAGCAUUUUUUG